GACGAACGCUGGCGGCGUGCUUAACACAUGCAAGUCGAACGGAAAGGCCCUGCUUUUGUGGGGUGCUCGAGUGGCGAACGGGUGAGUAACACGUGAGUAACCUGCCCUUGACUUUGGGAUAGCUUCAGGAAACUGGGGCUAAUACCGGAUAGGAGCUCCUGCUGCAUGGUGGGGGUUGGAAAGUUUCGGCGGUUGGGGAUGGAUUCGCGGCUUAUCAGCUUGUUGGUGGGGUAGUGGCUUACCAAGGCUUUGACGGGUAGCCGGCCUGAGAGGGUGACCGGCCACAUUGGGACUGAGAUACGGCCCAGACUCCUACGGGAGGCAGCAGUGGGGAAUAUUGCACAAUGGGCGGAAGCCUGAUGCAGCAACGCCGCGUGCGGGAUGACGGCCUUCGGGUUGUAAACCGCUUUCGCCUGUGACGAAGCGUGAGUGACGGUAAUGGGUAAAGAAGCACCGGCUAACUACGUG
rnacentral:rRNA from 1 species